rnacentral:misc_RNA from 1 species
UGCCAACUUGCAGUCGAAUGUUUAUGUUCACAAGAAAUCGCUUAUUCAAUCCAAAUACAAAGAUAAGAAAGCAUUUGUGCAACACGAUCCCUGAAGACAAAACUAGAUUGAAUCUAUCAAAGCUUAGACAUUACACCAUCGUUGUGGCAAGACUUUGCCACUGUCCCGUUUUCCUUAAUAUCUGAGUCAGACAUGCUGGGAGGAACAUCAACAGCUGGGGAGCAAUUGA